AACGUAGGUGGCAAGCGUUAUCCGGAUUUACUGGGCGUAAAGCAUGUGCAGACGGGUUGGUAAGUGGUGUAUGAAAGCGUCCGGCUUAACCGGGAAAGCGUAGGCCAGACUGCCAGUCUUGAGAUUGGGAGAGGGAUGCGGAAUUCCAGGUGUAGCGGUGAAAUGCGUAGAUAUCUGGAGGAACACCGGUGGCGAAGGCGGCAUCCUGGACCAACACUGACGCUGAGUGAGCGAAAGCCAGGGGAGCAAACGGG
rnacentral:rRNA from 1 species